UCGUCUUGGAGAGAAUGUAGAGCGUCUCGUAGGUGUGGCUGUAUUCCAGGUGCGCGCGCAGCGACGACAGGCUCCGGAAGCGCUUAUGCUCCCCGCAUCGUGGGCAUCUGUACGGAAUAAGCAUGAGAGUCCAGGUGCCUGGGAAACCAGAUUCUCUGAAGCUAGAAUUAAAGGUGAUUAUGAGCUGCCCGACAUAAGUGCUAGGAACCAAACUCUGCGCCUCUGGAAGCUUUCAGGCUCAUCUGAACUGUGCCUCCCAACAAUCUCACCUGUUGCUCCUGCGGAAAACCUUAGAUGGUCUUACU